UACGGGGGGGGCAAGCGUUGUUCGGAAUUACUGGGCGUAAAGGGCUCGUAGGUGGCCAACUAAGUCAGACGUGAAAUCCCCAGGCUCAACUUGGGAACUGCGUCUGAUACUGGAUGGCUUGAAUUCGGGAGAGGGAUGCAGAAUUCCAGGUGUAGCGGUGAAAUGCGUAGAUAUCGUAAGGAAGACCAGUGGCGAAGGCGGGUCUCUGGACAGUUCCUGACGCUGAGGCACGAAGGUCAGGGGAGCAAACGGG
rnacentral:rRNA from 1 species